ACGAACGCUGGCGGCGUGCCUAAUACAUGCAAGUCGAGCGAAGUUUUUCUGGUGCUUGCACCGGAAAAACUUAGCGGCGAACGGGUGAGUAACACGUAAAGAACCUGCCUCAUAGACUGGGACAACUAUUGGAAACGAUAGCUAAUACCGGAUAACAGCAUUAACUGCAUGGUUGAUGUUUAAAAGUUGGUUUUGCUAACACUAUGAGAUGGCUUUGCGGUGCAUUAGCUAGUUGGUGGGGUAAAGGCCUACCAAGGCGACGAUGCAUAGCCGACCUGAGAGGGUGAUCGGCCACACUGGGACUGAGACACGGCCCAGACUCCUACGGGAGGCAGCAGUAGGGAAUCUUCCGCAAUGGGCGAAAGCCUGACGGAGCAACGCCGCGUGAGUGAAGAAGGAUUUCGGUUCGUAAAGCUCUGUUGUUAGGGAAGAAUGAUUGUGUAGUAACGAGACACAGUAGAGACGGUACCUAACCAGAAAGCCACGGCUAACUACGUG
rnacentral:rRNA from 1 species